AUGUUUAGUUAUAUUUUUACUGAUUUUUAUAGAGUAAAGAUAGAAAUAAAACUUAGUAAAAUCAGUAAAAAUAUUCUUAGGCUAAAGUUAAGUAGUUUAAGUUGUGUGCAAGUGGUAGGAGAGCGUUCUAUUUGCGUCGAAGGUAUACCGGUAAGGAGUGCUGGAGCGAAUAGAAGUGAGCAUGCAGGCAUGAGUAGCGAUAAUUAAUGUGAGAAUCAUUAACGCCGUAAACCCAAGGUUUCCUACGCGAUGCUCGUCAUCGUAGGGUUAGUCGGGUCCUAAGUCGAGUCCGAAAGGGGUAGACGAUGGCAAAUUGGUUAAUAUUCCAAUACCAACAUUAGUGUGCGAUGGAAGGACGCUUAGGGCUAAGGGGGCUAGCGGAUGGAAGUGCUAGUCUAAGGUCGUAGGAGGUUAUACAGGCAAAUCCGUAUAACAAUACUCCGAGAACUGAAAGGCUUUUUGAAGUCUUCGGAUGGAUAGAAGAACCCCUGAUGCCGUCGAGCCAAGAAAAGUUUCUAAGUUUAGCUAAUGUUGCCCGUACCGUAAACCGACACAGGUGGGUGGGAUGAGUAUUCUAAGGCGCGUGGAAGAACUCUCUUUAAGGAACUCUGCAAAAUAGCACCGUAUCUUCGGUAUAAGGUGUGGUUAGCUUUGUAUUAGGAUUUACUCCGAAAGCAAGGAAACUUACAACAAAGAGUCCCUCCCGACUGUUUACCAAAAACACAGCACUCUGCUAACUCGUAAGAGGAUGUAUAGGGUGUGACGCCUGCCCGGUGCUCGAAGGUUAAUUGAUGGGGUUAGCAUUAGCGAAGCUCUUGAUCGAAGCCCGAGUAAACGGCGGCCGUAACUAUAACGGUCCUAAGGUAGCGAAAUUCCUUGUCGGUUAAAUACCGACCUGCAUGAAUGGCGUAACGAGAUGGGAGCUGUCUCAAAGAGGGAUCCAGUGAAAUUGUAGUGGAGGUGAAAAUUCCUCCUACCCGCGGCAAGACGGAAAGACCCCGUGGACCUUUACUACAGCUUGACACUGCUACUUGGAUAAGAAUGUGCAGGAUAGGUGGGAGGCUUUGAGUAUAUGACGCCAGUUGUAUAUGAGCCAUUGUUGAGAUACCACUCUUUCUUAUUUGGGUAGCUAACCAGCUUGAGUUAUCCUCAAGUGGGACAAUGUCUGGUGGGUAGUUUGACUGGGGCGGUCGCCUCCCAAAUAAUAACGGAGGCUUACAAAGGUUGGCUCAGAACGGUUGGAAAUCGUUCGUAGAGUAUAAAGGUAUAAGCCAGCUUAACUGCAAGACAUACAAGUCAAGCAGAGACGAAAGUCGGUCUUAGUGAUCCGGUGGUUCUGUGUGGAAGGGCCAUCGCUCAAAGGAUAAAAGGUACCCCGGGGAUAACAGGCUGAUCUCCCCCAAGAGCUCACAUCGACGGGGAGGUUUGGCACCUCGAUGUCGGCUCAUCGCAUCCUGGGGCUGGAGCAGGUCCCAAGGGUAUGGCUGUUCGCCAUUUAAAGCGGUACGCGAGCUGGGUUCAGAACGUCGUGAGACAGUUCGGUCCCUAUCUGCCGUGGGCGUAAGAAGAUUGAAGAGAUUUGACCCUAGUACGAGAGGACCGGGUUGAACAAACCACUGGUGUAGCUGUUGUUCUGCCAAGAGCAUCGCAGCGUAGCUAAGUUUGGAAAGGAUAAACGCUGAAAGCAUCUAAGCGUGAAGCCAACUCUAAGAUGAAUCUUCUCUAAGCUCUCUAGAAGACUACUAGUUUGAUAGGCUGGGUGUGUAAUGGAUGAAAGUCCUUUAGCUGACCAGUACUAAUAGAGCGUUUGGCUUAUCUUU
rnacentral:rRNA from 1 species